UACGUAUGGAGCAAGCGUUAUCCGGAUUUACUGGGUGUAAAGGGUGCGUAGGUGGCAGUGUAAGUCAGAUGUGAAAGGCCGGGGCUCAACCCCGGAGCUGCAUUUGAAACUGCUCGGCUAGAGUACAGGAGAGGCAGGCGGAAUUCCUAGUGUAGCGGUGAAAUGCAUAGAUAUUAGGAGGAACACCAGUGGCGAAGGCGGCCUGCUGGACUGUUACUGACACUGAGGCACGAAAGCGUGGGGAGCAAACAGG
rnacentral:rRNA from 1 species